rnacentral:rRNA from 1 species
GAGCGCCGUAGCAAUACGGAGCGGCAGACGGGAGAGUAACACGUGGGAACGUGCCCUUCAGUUCGGAACAACCCAGGGAAACUUGGGCUAAUACCGGAUACGUCCGUAAGGAGAAAGAUUUAUCGCUGAAGGAUCGGCCCGCGUCUGAUUAGCUUGUUGGUGAGGUAACGGCUCACCAAGGCGACGAUCGAUAGCUGGUCUGAGAGGAUGAUCAGCCACAUUGGGACUGAGACACGGCCCAAACUCCUACGGGAGGCAGCAGUGGGGAAUAUUGGACAAUGGGCGCAAGCCUGAUCCAGCCAUGCUGCGUGAGUGAUGACGGCCUUAGGGUUGUAAAGCUCUUUCGCUCGGGACGAUAAUGACGGUACCGAGAUAAGAAGCCCCGGCUAACUUCGUG